rnacentral:rRNA from 1 species
UACGGGGGGGGCAAGCGUUGUUCGGAAUUACUGGGCGUAAAGGGCGUGUAGGCGGCCAACUAAGUCCGACGUGAAAUCCCCAGGCUUAACCUGGGAACUGCGUCGGAUACUGGAUGGCUUGAAUCCGGGAGAGGGAUGCAGAAUUCCAGGUGUAGCGGUGAAAUGCGUAGAUAUCAGGAAGAACACCCGUGGCGAAGGCGGCUCUCUGGGACGGUACUGACGCUGAGACGCGAAAAGCGUGGGGAGCAAACAGG